rnacentral:lncRNA from 1 species
ACRCCAGGGCGGGGCGGGAAGCGCGGCCCGCCCACUCGCGCGGCGGCUGUUGGGCGGCUCGCGCGGCGGCCGUUACAGCCGUUGGGCGGCGGCGGCGCGCCUGCUCCGGUGGCUGCACGGCUGCGGGCACCUGGGGCGCGAGGCCUGGCCGGCCGGCGGGCAGGGACUGUGGGGAAGCGCGGAUGGAGCGGCGGUAAUAAUGGCGAGCAGCGCUCGGUCUGAUGGGAUCCCCCCUUUAAAAGCCUGCACGAGACUUGUCCACAGUUCUCAGAGGCCUCUGCCAGAGGACAGAAUAGCACUGAACGUUAUAAUAUGAAGGCUUCGAAUACGGUCACCGAGUCCAUUGAAACUCAGUACUUCCUUUUGAUGUCAACAGAUGUGCUAUCAGAAAAUGUGAUGUGUAACAGGUGUGCUAAGGAAAAGCUAGAGAAGCCAGUGAGAUUCGAGAGAAGAGUGAGACCAGGUUUCUGGUUAUUCUUAAUUAUCUUGCAUUGACUUUUGAUUAAAUUCAUUGUAAAAGAUGGAACAGUUUUUUUUGCUGCAGAAAGCAUGGCCUUCAUUUGCAUCUGAAAUCCAUAUGAGCCAUGUCAUAGUGAAUAGAAAUUGUUUUUUCCCAGCCUUAGAACAUGUCUCACAGAAGGAGCAACCACAUCAUAAUCCUUAGUGACUAAAGUGAUUUUUUUAAUUUAGUUGGAUUCAGUAUUUUAAAGUUAACAGCUGGUGGGAGCCUCUGAGCUCAGCUUUCUUAGUAAUGAAAUAGAGGUUUCUUUGUUUUCUUCCUUUGAGUGAAAUGAUUACCUCAGCCUACACUUUCAUGUUAGUGAUUCAAAUAAGAAACAAAGGAAAUCUUCAUGUACUCUCUUUGCAAAAGCUAUUCAUAGGAAAUAUCUUUGAUUUAAAUGUAGUAAUUAAAUAAAUAUGUAUGCUUGAAAAGGUUAAGGUCUAUC